rnacentral:rRNA from 1 species
CUUGGCCUACGGGGCGCAGCAGUGAGGAAUAUUGGUCAAUGGGCUUACGCCUGAACCAGCCAAGUCGCGUGAGGGAAGACUGCCCUAUGGGUUGUAAACCUCUUUUGUCAGGGAGCAACGCCGGCUACGUGUAGCCGGACUGAGAGUACCUGAAGAAAAAGCAUCGGCUAACUCCGUGCCAGCAGCCGCGGUAAUACGGAGGACGCGAGCGUUAUCCGGCUUUAUUGGGUUUAAAGGGUGCGUAGGCGGUCCGUUAAGUCAGCGGCAAAAUUGCGGGUC